rnacentral:misc_RNA from 1 species
UUUAGGGAGACCUUACCCCCAUUUCCUCAGACUUUAGGAUCAAUGCCUAGAGCCAGCAGAGGAGUGGUUGGUCAUCUCAAGGUCGGUGAGGGUUGGAUGUAAGGCUUUCAAACUUGUCUAGUUCAUCUUUAAAGAUUAAGACUGCAACAAUGCAACAAUACAAGUGCUUAUUUGAGCGCAAAUUAGCUUGCAAGCCUUUUGAUUGCUGCGCUUAAUGCUAAAUGGAAUGUAUUCAGCAACAGUAUUAGUUGAACUAAGCUGCCUGCUGGGAGACAUUCCAGCGAGAACCAUGAAAACUGCAUAGUGAUAAGCAAUUAAGUCAGGUAGAAGUUCAUCUUUAGUUUGUCUUCGUCUUCAGGAUUGAAGCGACGAGAUGAACCUUCAUAGACACCAAUGUAAAGACAAGUUAGU